GAAAUGUGUACAGUAUUUUGGCAGCUGUCAUUAGAUUGCUACUCACCAGUGCUGGUAUAAGAAGACAGAGGUGUACUUUUUGUAUAUUUAUUUCAAAUUUUGUAACGAUGAACAUGGAAACGGACAAGGACAACAACGUUAGUGUACCAAAGAAGUUGACAACACGCACUAUGACUGGCAGAUUAAUUUACUCGAGCCAAUGCAAGCAACAGACUGACAGUAAUAGCUGAACAAAUUCAGUACUUGCAGGAGCAAGCUAGGAAGGCUUGGGGUUCCAGCUGCCCACAUAAAUUCCUUGGUGCUUAUAAGCUGCAGUUUGACAUGUCCUGGACCCCCUCUGAUGAGGUUGAGAAAAGGGACUCUGAGAUCAGCAUCCUAGACAAGCUGCUGAGCCAGCAGACAGCCCUGCCCUCCUGUAAUGAGCCCAACUUCCAGGGGCUCACACAGUGAACCUCCCCCAGGCACCAAGAACAGACAGACUUUGCAAUGGAUUAAACUGGAUACAGAAGGAAUGGUUCUUACUUUACCUUGUAUUGUAUUUCUUUUUA